rnacentral:lncRNA from 1 species
UUUUUAAUAAAAAUAAGUGGAGGGACGAUGGCUGCAUACGCCGAUGCAUCUGUCCUUAUGAGAAGGUUAACGCACGUGAGGUUUAUACAAACUGCGUACUGGAUCGCUUCUCGUCUCCCUUGGAACACGGUCACCCAUCAUUAAAAAAAUACUAAUUUGAUUACUAAUUGGUUUGAUUGUUAAUUGUUCAUGAUCAAUGAUCAAUGAUUUUUCAAUAAUUCAAUGUCAAUGUCUCCGUAACAUCCAAUACCGUUUUUUUAAAGUCAUCUCGUUACAAGUUUUCUUGCAAGGAUUCAGCCAAUGAUUCUAUAUGCUUA